GGAAAUGUUUUCGUUUGACGCUGCGUGGGUUUGUGGGCGCUUGGCUUUUCUCUCUGUGGUUUUGAGAGUUAGCUUCUCGUGAACCGUUUGUCAAUAUGUGUGACGCACACGAGGUGCUUUGUAUUUACAAAAGAAAAAUAAUGAAGGAAAAGUCUGACGCUAAUCAGCUGGAGACACGGAGCAAAGAUAUGCAGCAUGAUGAGGAGGAGGAUGAAAUCCCCCAGAUUUGUGGCAAGAGGCAUGCUGGAUUGUAAUCAGCCAAGAUAUUUGCUGAAGUUUGAACAACUUUACCUCUCCAAGCCCAUAAGAGAUUGUGCUGCUUCACCAGUGUUGCCACGUGAAGCCAGAUUAAGAAAUCUCACCAACAGUCAUUAAAGAAGGUGAAGAACAACUUCAGAUGCAGCAUCAGAAAACUUUUAUUGGUAAAGUUCCAGUUAUGUUGCAUUCAAUUUACUGUCUACUAAAUGGCUUAGCAGAUCAUGAUCUUUGUGAGUUAAAUGGAUGCCUCUUGGAUCCUGAUGGCUACUUCAUUAUUAAUGGAUCAGAAAAGGUUCUGAUUGCUCAAGAGAAAAUGGCAACAAACAUAACCUUUGUGUUUGCCAAACAGGAUUCUAAAUAUGCCUACACAGGAGAGUGUAGAUCAUGUCUGGAGAAUUCUUCUGACCCACUAUCUGGGUUAGCAUGCUGGCAAGAGGAGGACAGGAAAAGCUGUGAAGACCAUCAAGCCCCAAACAAUAAAUUCCUGCUGGAGAAAACUGUGUCCAGAGGUGCCGACUUCACAGGAUUUAGGACAGAACCAAUCAAAGAAAUCAUGAAAGAGACUGCAGAUAUGGCAAAAAAAGGUUGGCGGUGAAGGGUUUCAAGAUGGGGAUCUCAGAGAAAUUCAAGAGCUAAUAGACAGGACUUCCCUGAUGGUCCAGUGGUAAAGAAUCUGCCUUACAAUGCAGGGUUCAAUCCCUGGUCAGGGAACUAAGAUCCCACAUGCCGCGGGGCAACUAAGCCCGCGUGCCACAACUAAUGAGGUCACGUGCCUCAGCUAGAGCCCGCGUGCCGCAAACUACAGAACCCAUGCACUCUGGAACCCCUGUGCCACAACUACAGAGCCCACGCGCCCUGGAGCCUGUGCACCACAACUAGAGAAGAGAAAACCCGCACGCCACAACUAGAGAGAAGCCCACACACCACAACAAAGAGCCCACGUGCCACAAUGAAGAGCCUGCAUGCCACAACUAAGACCCAGUGCAGCCAAAAAUAAAUUAAAUAAAUAAAUAAUAAAUAAAUCUUAAAAAAAAAAAAAGAGCUAAUAGACACCAUACCAGAGGAUUUAACAAGAGAUGACUUGGACAGGAGUGCUUCUGAACCAGUGCCAGACAAUGAGGAAAAAGACAUGGGAGAAGUAGUGACAGAAAACAAAUUGACAUUAGACACUCUGGCAGAAGGGUUCUGAUAAUUAAAAACUGCUUUUGACUUCUUUUACGACAUGGACCAUUCUAUGAUACUGGUGCUGAAACUAAAGCACACAGUGGAAGAAGGAUUAGUACUUUAUAGAAGCAUUUUUAGAAAAAUAUAAAAGCAAAAAUCUCAGAUAGAAAUGAGGAUGUAAGGACUUCCCUGGUGGCACAGUGGUUAAGAAUCCGCCUGCCAAUGCAGGGGACACAGGUUUCAGCCCUGGUCCGGGAAUAUCCCAUGUGCCACGGAGCAACUAAGCCUGUGCGCCACAACUACUGAGCCUAUGCUCUAGAGCCUGCAAGCCACAACUACUAAGCCCACAUGCCACAACUACUGAAGCCCAUGCACCUGGAUCUCGUGCUUCGCAACAAGAGAAGCCACUGCAAUGAGAAGCCUGCACACCGCAACAGAGUAGCCCCUCCUCGCCGCAACUAGAGAAAGCCUGUGCACAGCAACGAAGACCCAACGCAGCCAAAAAUAAAUAAAUAAAUAAAGUAAAUAAAUAGCUCCUCUAUACUACAUUUUAAAAAAAGGAAUUAGGAUGUAUUUUUGUCAAGUUACACCCCGUGUGCGUACCUCUCCUGCCUCCCCUCCCACCUCCUCCACCUCUUCCAUAACUGAGACAGCAAGACCAACCCUUCCUCUUUCUCUUCCUCCUCAGCCUACUCAAUGUGAAUCAAGACUACUAGGAUGAAGACCUUUGUGAUGAUCCACUUCUACUUAAUGAAUAGUAGACAGUCAUCAUGUGCUACAGUUAAUAAACUUAUCUGUUAUGUAUGUGUGUGAGUGUCUUUGUAUGAAAAUCUAAUAACUACUGCAAGAACCAUGAGACAUUGUGUCAUCACCAUCAUAUCAUCAUCAUUGCCUAAAUAUCAUCAUGUAGAAUAUCAGGUGCAAGACUUGUAUUGAAGUGGCUAGCCUACCUUAUAUAGGAAUAAGGUAAGUGAUACUUAAUAUAAAAUUAAUAAUGUUUUAGUUUUCCUACUGUUCUAUAACUUUGCUUUCAAAGUUAUAUACAUUACCAUACAGUAUGCCUCUCUCUUCCCUCCUAAUUGGAGAAACUGUGUAUCAGGAUGUCACCAUAGGUAAGUGGAUUUUUAAAAAUGUAACAGUGUUUCCAACACUGUAUUAUGAAUAUGACUGUAAUACUGUAUGCCAUAAAAUUUUUAUAAGGAUUC